rnacentral:snoRNA from 1 species
AAACCAUGAUGAGGACACUCUAAGACAAGGUCUUUGAAACGUUCCAUACAUCUAUAUAAUGAUUCAUUGGGUCUUUGGCAAAACUAAAAAAUUUCGUUCCUAAGAUU